rnacentral:lncRNA from 1 species
GUGGUUAUUUAGUAGGAACUUCAGGGGCUGGACAGGAGAUUUGAAGCAGGAAAGUGAGUUCAGCAAUGUUAUAUGCCAUAGUGCUCAUUACAUCAUCUGGAUUUUCCAGAGCCAGGCUCUUCUGAGGACAUGGGAUAGCAAAGGCUGCAGAUCUCAACACAACUUUAGAGAAUGCCUUGGAGUUAUGGAGACAGAAGUCAGAAUACAGCAGGUUGAGAAGUAACUCGUCAAGAGCAAGAAAAGUUGCAAGCAUACACACAACGGAAAAACAGCACUGAAAGGAAGAUGUGAAGAAAUAUACUUAGAGCAUUUUUCAUAUUCCAUUUAAUUCAUA